UUAGAUGACCAAGUUAGGGCCUACAUGACCGCUGCAGCUCAGUGCCGGAGCUCAGAUCAAUGGAAUACUGUUGGGGAUAUAGCGGACCACACCCACAUACUGAUUAGACCCUCUGAUUGGAUGUCACGUGGAUGACUUGACCACUACCAUGGCUUUCAUGCAAAUUGAUCAAGGUCGAGCAACCAAGACUCACCUAGACAGGCAGACGUGCAGGAGCAAAAGAAGCAGCUGUGAGGAGCCUGGAAGGUCUCCCAACACUGGCCCUCACCUGUGUCACCGCUGCCUGUCAGUGCCGUCAAGCUCCUGGUUUUCUCCCUAGCUUCCUGCAACGGCCUCGGCGAAGGCGGCAAAGAAACCAUCGGAGCGAAAAAAGGUGACCAUUUUUGUCCCAGUUCCAGGGUUUAGCCGCUACAAAGGAUGACGCACCACGGAGGUGAUGACUGACAGCCACUUCACACUGAAACAGGUUUCUCUGUGGAGGCACUGGAACAUGGAGAAUUCACAAGCUGAAUAAUUGAGGAAUGUCUGUAACAGAAGCGUAUUUGUUUUGCGUGAUUAUAUCAAGUAUGAUGGCACGAUAGGGUCAAGUACAUGAAGUCUCCAUUGCUGUUGUGAAUUGAGAUCAGCUUUCACCAUAAAGUGCAACUUUAUCCUUUAUUUUGCAACGACAGCAACUGCACCAGUGAGACAUACUGUAUGCCAGCACACUGAUGGUGCUUAUUCUCACAGAAAACUGUUUCUUUAAGGCAAUAAAGUGUUGAAAUAUGAUAAACUAUGUUAGACGGUACCAUUUUUUAAAAUUACUAAACUACCUU